rnacentral:lncRNA from 1 species
UCUUAAAUGCGUCAGUUUCAGGAGAGGGUCCUAAUGAGUCUUUAUUGCUUCAGUUUUAGAAAGUGUCUUUAGUGCAGUCCAUUUGAGCUACCAACUCAAGUAUAAAUAAUUGUAAGGGCUAGGUAUGCUAUGCUAUGUUAUAUGAAUAAAAUUAUCAGAGUGUUUCUGAGUUAUCUUGUGAUGGGAUUGGCGUGAAGCCUAGAUUUAGGGUGAGAAGCCUAGAUUUGGUGAGAAACCAGGGAGUGAUUCCCAAAUCAAAGUGUUUUGUGUGUGUUUAAAACCCCAAGCUUUAGAGCUUGUUGAUCCUGGUAUCUAAGCAGUAGGUUUGCUGCAUCAGUGCUUCAAACUUAGUGAGAAGUUCCUAUUUGUUUGAAUUUGUUUCCCAAAGCCCUAUCUGUAAACCCGAUUUUGAUACUAGUUUCUAAUAUUAUUUGAGAAUUUUCGAGUUAGAAGUUAGUGUGUUUUGAGGUUGAAAGGAAGAGCGGAGGUGUUCGAGAGAUUUUCUUUGUCGAAAACUUCAUGAAAGUUGUAGAGUUUGUCGAAACGAGUUCGUAGACACGUGGCACACGUGAAACGGAUGUCGUAUGAGAAAGUUAUGGUUAGAGAAAGUUAGUUUCCGGUUUUGGAAGGUGUAUAAAUAGAAAAAUGUGUGGGUUAAUGCAGAAUCCCUAAAAUUGCAGAAAAACCCUGCAAUUCUCUCUCUCCCGUCUCCAUUUUCACCCUCAAACUUCUUCCAGUCAUAACUCGGCCAUCUGGCGACGGAUUUGGGCGUGCUUCGUCUCGUUGGAAAGCUCUAACUCCCCUAUUUCUAUUCAUACUGCAAGUUACAGCUGCCGCCAGCGGUGAAGCUCCGACCGAUUCCGGCGACAUCGAGGUUUGAGGCUACCCAUUUCUGGAAGUUCUUUUCCUUCUGAGCAUGAUGAUACUAGCCUUGAAGCCCAAUUCCAAGCGUGGAGCUUUUGAGUUCGAAGUGCUCCUUGUUUCUUUCCAGCCGAAUUGGCUUUGGCCACAGGUAUAAAAAGUGUUCCAUUUGUUGUGACCCACAGGUAUAAAAUGCCCAAAAUAGCGCGUCAAAUUUUCGCAGAAAAAGUUGAAAGAUCAAUGUUGUGGGUGUAUGGAGGUCCCAAAAAGAGCCAAGAAUUUGGUUUCGGCGGAUUCCGAGAAGGUUGAUAUGUUCGCAAUCAUCGUGUUAAAAUGCCCAAAAUAGCGCGUCAAAUUUUCGCAGAAAAAGUUGAAAGAUCAAUGUUGUGGGUGUAUGGAGGUCCCAAAAAGAGCCAAGAAUUUGGUUUCGGCGGAUUCCGAGAACGUUGAUAUGUUCGCAAUCAUCGUGUUAAAAUGCCCAAAAUAGCGCGUCAAAUUUUCGCAGAAAAAGUUGAAAGAUCAAUGUUGUGGGUGUAUGGAGGUCCCAAAAAGAGCCAAGAAUUUGGUUUCGGCGGAUUCCNNNNNNN